UCUCCGUUCAAAAAAAAACAUGAUUAAUAUUUUAUGUGUCCGUCUUAUAUAAAUUUUUUUUAUAAUUAGUAUUUUCAUUGUUGUUAGAUGAUAAAACAUGAUUAAUAAUUUAUGUGUGAAUUAUCUUUUUAAUUUUUUUCAUAUUUUUUUUAAAUAAGACGGACGGUCAAAUGUUAGACACGGAAAGC
rnacentral:pre_miRNA from 1 species